rnacentral:rRNA from 1 species
CAGGCUUAACACAUGCAAGUCGAGGGGCAGCAUUUCAGUUUGCUUGCAAACUGGAGAUGGCGACCGGCGCACGGGUGAGUAACACGUAUCCAACCUGCCGAUAACUCGGGGAUAGCCUUUCGAAAGAAAGAUUAAUACCCGAUGGUAUAAUCAGACCGCAUGGUCUUGUUAUUAAAGAAUUUCGGUUAUCGAUGGGGAUGCGUUCCAUUAGGCAGUUGGUGAGGUAACGGCUCACCAAACCUUCGAUGGAUAGGGGUUCUGAGAGGAAGGUCCCCCACAUUGGAACUGAGACACGGUCCAAACUCCUACGGGAGGCAGCAGUGAGGAAUAUUGGUCAAUGGGCGAGAGCCUGAACCAGCCAAGUAGCGUGAAGGAUGACUGCCCUAUGGGUUGUAAACUUCUUUUAUAAAGGAAUAAAGUUUUCCACGUGUGGAAUUUUGUAUGUACCAUAUGAAUAAGGAUCGGCUAACUCCGUGCCAGCAGCCGCGGUAAUACGGAGGAUCCGAGCGUUAUCCGGAUUUAUUGGGUUUAAAGGGAGCGUAGGUGGACAGUUAAGUCAGUUGUGAAAGUUUGCGGCUCAACCGUAAAAUUGCAGUUGAUACUGGCUGUCUUGAGUACAGUAGAGGUGGGCGGAAUUCGUGGUGUAGCGGUGAAAUGCUUAGAUAUCACGAAGAACUCCGAUUGCGAAGGCAGCUCACUGGACUGCAACUGACACUGAUGCUCGAAAGUGUGGGUAUCAAACAGGAUUAGAUACCCUGGUAGUCCACACAGUAAACGAUGAAUACUCGCUGUUUGCGAUAUACAGUAAGCGGCCAAGCGAAAGCAUUAAGUAUUCCACCUGGGGAGUACGCCGGCAACGGUGAAACUCAAAGGAAUUGACGGGGGCCCGCACAAGCGGAGGAACAUGUGGUUUAAUUCGAUGAUACGCGAGGAACCUUACCCGGGCUUAAAUUGCAUUUGAAUAUAUUGGAAACAGUAUAGCCGUAAGGCAAAUGUGAAGGUGCUGCAUGGUUGUCGUCAGCUCGUGCCGUGAGGUGUCGGCUUAAGUGCCAUAACGAGCGCAACCCUUAUCUUUAGUUACUAACAGGUCAUGCUGAGGACUCUAGAGAGACUGCCGUCGUAAGAUGUGAGGAAGGUGGGGAUGACGUCAAAUCAGCACGGCCCUUACGUCCGGGGCUACACACGUGUUACAAUGGGGGGUACAGAAGGCAGCUACCUGGUGACAGGAUGCUAAUCCCAAAAGCCUCUCUCAGUUCGGAUCGAAGUCUGCAACCCGACUUCGUGAAGCUGGAUUCGCUAGUAAUCGCGCAUCAGCCAUGGCGCGGUGAAUACGUUCCCGGGCCUUGUACACACCGCCCGUCAAGCCAUGAAAGCCGGGGGUACCUGAAGUACGUAACCGCAAGGAGCGUCCUAGGGUAAAACUGGUAAUUG